CAACCCGGAAGUGAACGCAGGCGCCCGCACACCACAACCAGGAACUCACAUGCGCCCCUAAAUGUGUUCAGUCUCUUAUGUUGGCGAAACGCAAUACUGAGAGGCGUCGCCGGCAUUCGCCUGUGCGCGGCACGUGGCACAGGCUGUGCUGCCGCUGCUGCUGCUGCGUGUGGUGGUGCCGCAUCCGCAUUGCCUAAGGUCUCUUGUUUUUUAUUCUGAUUGCUCGCCCGCCUCGAUCGCUUGCUGUGACGGGGCACAUUCCGCGUUGUUGCGCCCUGGCCAGCGCAGCCAGUGGAGCUACGGCCCGGCCCGGCCUCCACCGUCUACGAAAGAGCUGUGGGACAGCCUGGAGGGCCUGCUGAUCUGUGUGCGCCCCACGCACCCGGCAAAUGCAUUCGAGGACCGCCCCGCCGCUGUGGCGCAGCCCGGCAUGCACGUGAAGAGCGCCAUCGCCAGCUGGAGCGGCAAUGCGACGUGGGGCCCGGCGAUGGGCACUGGCGAAGCGGAGCCCUCUGCGGUACGUGAGCGCAUGGCGGCGCGGGGGCCGCCGGGGAAGCUGUUCCACAGCGCGAAGCUGCUGGGGCAGGUGAGUUGGCUGCGCUGCUGCGUGCGCGACCCGCGCGGCGGCGAGGCCGCCGUGCUCAUGCUCUUUAGCCGCUGCUGGCGGGUGGAGCGGAUGUGACGGCUGGUGCAGGUGGAUGUCUCGAAGGUUGUGUUUGUGUCGGAGCUCGAGCGGGGCGGCGUUGGCGAGAAGGCGCCGCGGGAGCGCGACCGCCGCAAGGCGAUCCGCAUGCUGCACCGGGGAGGGGUGGCGGAGAGGAAUUUCCGCCGUGCCCCUGGCCAAGUACGAGGGCGCCAUCAGCUGCACUGCCGGCGUGUCUGUGGUGUGUUGCGUCUUCACGACGAGCCUGCGCGCGUAGCGGCGGCGGCAGCGGGGCCGCCAACUCAAGACAGCCAUCGAGGCCACCUCGAAGGCCGCCCAGUCAUCGAAGGGCGAGGGUGUGCUGGCGCCGCUCGGUGGGGCCUUCGCCGUGAAGCGCAAGGAUGAGGGGGCGGUGGUGCGCCGUGCGCUGACGCAGGUGGUGCCGUUGCAUUCCCGCCGCGCGGCGCUGGAGAAGCGGGCGCGGCUCGCGCACGUCGGCCUCUGUGGCUUGGCAAACGCGGUGGAUUUCGGGGGGAUAAAGAGUUGCGGCGUCAACCAGCUUUAUGGUUGCUUUUUGUCGACCUGUGGUUUUUCUUUUAACGGACUGACUGGGCUGCCCAUGCGGCGGUGCUGUAGCUGGCCUCGUUGCCAUUCGCCAAUGGUGUGCAUGGUGGCGCCGUUGUGGACAUGCCAGUGCUCCGCCAGCGAGAGGUGCGAGAGUGUGCGGUGCGUGAGGCUGCGCCGGACGAGAGAUGAAGUGCCCCUAAGGCCUUGCGCACGGCGUCGUGCUGCAUGUCGGUCUGGCAAGUGGACGGGACGAUGGCCUGCGAGCGGAGGGCGAAGCCUCGGCUUCUCCCUGCGUGCUUGUGAGGAUACCGAUACAGCUGCGGUGCCUCUGACGACAUCUCACGACGGCGAGCCGUUGGAUGCACACCUCGCCGCACGGCUAAGCACCGCGAUGUGGGGGGGCCGACAGCUGCGUGCGAGUGCGGGUCUGUUGCGGAGCACUUCUUGCGGGUCUUGUGGUGACAGGCGAGUGGAGGAGGGGAGGAAGGGGACGCUCGCCCGCUGCAGAGGCUCAGCUGGCUGCGCUUAGAAAGCAUAUGUGCAUCCACAGAAAAGGUGCGGCUUAUUCACGCGGUGCGUGUGCAGUGCAGGGAAUGAGUCACUGAUGCAUGCGCAUGCGUGUGUGUGUGUGUGCUGUGAAGGCGAGUGCGCCUUCGGCAGCAAAUGCUAACGGGCAACUCAAGCCCUCUCCUCCUGCUUGACUCCUCCUCUCUGCCCGACGCCGGCAGGUGAGUGCACCGGUCCCUGCGGAAGGAUGUGGACGCACCGCAGCUCAUCAGUACCGCAUUCCGUUUGAUGGCACUUCAUUUUGAUCCCUUUCUUAGGCUAUUAGGAGGUGUGCCGGCGAGGUGUGCUGCGGAUGCGGCUGUGGUCUUGACGCUGCAGAGGUGGGCGGGGGGGGUGCGCGUGCGCUGAGCUGCGUGGGGCUAAUUGCGGAAAAGCAGCUGUGCAUGGGCAUUCUCGUGCAUGGCCAAGCCUCGCGCGGCCUCACAUUGGCGGGGCUCCUGGCGGAUUACGUCCGCUACCGGUGGCACCUCAUGAGCACCGAGAACUGGGGAAAGGGCGGGCGCCCUGCGCACGUGGGGAUUCUGACUGCGGAUGGCUCGAUCACCAUACUGCUGAGGGAGGGGUGCAGGUGUCGGAGGCGUGUAUCCAUCGCCUCGAGGCGGCUGUCAGCCGAUUCAUGGACAACCGCCUGCGCCCGCUACCGGGAGACGAGGCGGAUGCUGGCAUGGGGCGAGUGGCGGCGGGUCUGGGAAGACAUAGAUGUCGCCGUCUCUGAAGAGCUCCAUCGCCGAUCGACACACCCACGGAGGAGGAUCCGCGGGUGCUCUUCCGCAUUCCCCUCCUCCGCGUUCGACGCGUGGCAUGCACGCAAGGCGUCACUGCAGGGCGGAAACAGCGUGCGCCGGCUCAUUCUAGUGGUGGCAUCGAAGGCCGAGCGGACGGAUGCUUCGCAGGCCUGCUGCUGGAAGUGCGAUUGCGCUGCUUGGCAGACACCUCCCGCUGUUUGCGCUACUCUGGUGGCCUGAUCGUCGGCCUGGACGGCGAGCAGCUGCAGGUGACACUUCAUCUGGGGACUGGCUUGUUGACGUGCCUCGCGCAGCGGGCGACCCACUACCACCGCGGCUCCAUGCCGCUGCGGGAACUGCUGCGUGCGCGACCCGACCGGCGUGCCGGCCCCACAGAGCCCGGCGAUCGUGUCGGAGGAAGGUGGCGCAGCGCUCAGGGCGGCCGACAUGAUGGAGCGCUGCAGCUGCCGCACCUGUGUGGCCGACUGCGCCCUCUCCGUGAUGGCUGAGGAAGAGGGUCUGAUGAGGAGACGGCUCAUGCUGUGGCCGCGGAGGGAUACAUGGCCGGUGCCUAUCUGGACUGCUCGCCGUGGCUCUGCGUGCUGUGCAACGUUGGUGGAGUCGCGGGCUGGAAGGCGUCGCUUUCCCAGGGGUCCAUGCCUGAAGGGCUCAUGUCCUCAGCCGUGUUGGGCGCCGCUGGCGGGAGGGCCUAUCGGCUGGGAGCUGUGCCAGUGGCGUGAAGCGUUACGCCCUGAAGCGAUGCAGGUGGUGGCAGCACGGUUGGCUGGUGGCCCCCUGCAACGCCGAGCGACGUGCUAGCCAUGUGCGAGUCGAUGUGUGGACAGACCGCAUGCGGAGUGCAGGCACGUGUCGAGCCGUGAAGCAGGCAGCAGGGUCGGUGAUUCAGGCGGCAUGCCGGUUGAAGGUCACUGUCAAUUGGGACGAAGCUGAGGUCGCUCUCCCUCAAGUGUUGCAUGGGUGAUGUGCCGCCGCGAUGCGAAGGUCGUCUGCUUUGGAGGAAAAACUGUCGGGAAGCUGCGCGCGGCGUCACCAGGACAUGUGACAAUGGCAUGGCCUGAACGUUCUUGCGAUGACUGCGGCACAGUGCCGGAGCUGUGAUGGUUCGUGCUCACUUAUUUUUGGGAUUUCUCCAAGGUGCAAGGUGGCUGCCUUUCAAAAACUCGCGUUUUUUUGUUGCUGGGUCGCCGAUAGCCGGCCGCGCUGUCCCGGGAGCGCUCAGGGUGAGUUGGACAAGCGGCACAGGUGGGCCGCAGUGAAUGCACCACUGCCCACCAGGCCGCCGCCGAGGAUGACCGGUGCCGUGUGCGGCCUCUGCGCCGACGCGACAUUGGGCGGAUGGGGAGCCGCGUGCGUGAAGCGGGCGGCAUAGUAAGCCGCCAUGACGGGUAUGCGAGGAGGACACGGCCCCGCCGACCGUGUAGGUGCGGCGCCUUUUCUGCUGAAGCUGCAGCUUACAUUCAUGUGGGUAGCACGUCUGCCAUCGCUGCUUUCCAC
rnacentral:misc_RNA from 1 species